rnacentral:rRNA from 1 species
UACAGAGGGUGCGAGCGUUAAUCGGAAUUACUGGGCGUAAAGCGCACGUAGGCGGCUUGGUAUGUCGGGUGUGAGAUCCCCGGGCUCAACCUGGGAACUGCAUCCGAAACUGCCUUGCUAGAGUAUGGGAGAGGGAAGUGGAAUUUCCGGUGUAGCGGUGAAAUGCGUAGAGAUCGGGAGGAACACCGGUGGCGAAGGCGGCGACCUGGGUAGAUACUGACGCUGAGGUGCGAAAGCGUGGGGAGCAAACAGG